GAUGAACGCUGGCGGCGUGCCUAAUACAUGCAAGUCGAGCGAACGGACGAGAAGCUUGCUUCUCUGAUGUUAGCGGCGGACGGGUGAGUAACACGUGGAUAACCUACCUAUAAGACUGGGAUAACUUCGGGAAGCCGGAGCUAAUACCGGAUGAUAUUUUGAGCCGCAUGGUUCAAAAGUGAAAGACGGUCUUGCUGUCACUUAUAGAUGGAUCCGCGCUGCAUUAGCUAGUUGGUAAGGUAACGGCUUACCAAGGCAACGAUGCAUAGCCGACCUGAGAGGGUGAUCGGCCACACUGGAACUGAGACACGGUCCAGACUCCUACGGGAGGCAGCAGUAGGGAAUCUUCCGCAAUGGGCGAAAGCCUGACGGAGCAACGCCGCGUGAGUGAUGAAGGUCUUCGGAUCGUAAAACUCUGUUAUUAGGGAAGAACAUAUGUGUAAGUAACUGUGCACAUCUUGACGGUACCUAAUCAGAAAGCCACGGCUAACUACGUG
rnacentral:rRNA from 1 species